rnacentral:rRNA from 1 species
CCAAUAGCGUAUAUUAAAGUUGUUGCAGUUAAAAAGCUCGUAGUUGAAUUUCGGGGUUAGUAGGUUGGUCAUGCCUCUGGUAUGCACUGGUCUCACUGAUUCCUCCUUCCUGAUGAGCCGUAAUGCCAUUAAUUUGGUGUUGCGGGAAUCUGGACUGUUACUUUGAAAAAAUUAGAGUGUUUAAAGCAGGCUAACGCUUGAAUACAUUAGCAUGGAAUAAUGGAAUAGGACGUUCGAUCUUAUUUUGUUGGUUUCUAGGAUUGACGUAAUGAUUAAUAGGGAUAGUUGGGGGCAUUAGUAUUCAAUUGUCAGAGGUGAAAUUCUUGGAUUUAUUGAAGACUAACUACUGCGAAAGCAUUUGCCAAGGAUGUUUUCAUUAAUCAAGAACGAAAGUUAGGGGAUCGAAGACGAUCAGAUACCGUCGUAGUCUUAACCAUAAACUAUGCCGACUAGGAAUCGGAUGAUGUUAAUUUUUUAAUGACUCAUUCGGCGCCUUACG